rnacentral:ncRNA from 1 species
UUUUUUAAGAGUUUGAUCUUGGCUCAGGAUGAACGCUGGCGACGUGGAUAAGGCAUGCAAGUCGAAUGCCACACCUCUUAGCUUUUGUGCUUAGUGUAUAAUAAUUUUUAUGCAUUAUGUCUACAUAUUAAAAAGCAAGAGGAAUGGACGAUUAUAUACAGGUUAUAGUGCAGAUUUAAAACAGCGGGUUAAAGACCAUAACGCUGGCAAGUCUCCCUAUACCAAAAAUAAUCGUCCUUACUCUCUUGUUUAUUACGAAGCCUAUUUUUCUAAGGUUGAAGCACAAAAGCGUGAGCAAAGUUUAAAACUUCGCUCUAAUGCUUACGCUCAACUACGUAGAAGGAUUAAGGUCUCAAUAAACGAAAGUUAAGAGGUGUGGCAUGGCAAACGAGGUAGUAACACGUAGGAACGCACCCGGAAGUUGUGCAUAACCGGCCGAAAGGUCGGAUAAUUCACAAUGGUCUCGUAAGAGUAAAGAUUUAUCGCUUCCGGAGCGGCCUGCGGGAUAUCAGCUAGUUGGUAGGGUAAUGGCCUACCAAGGCUAUGACGUCUAGGGGAGGUGAGAGCCUGACCCCCACCGAU